CGAGCGGCGGACGGGUGAGUAAUGUCUGGGAAACUGCCUGAUGGAGGGGGAUAACUACUGGAAACGGUAGCUAAUACCGCAUAACGUCGCAAGACCAAAGAGGGGGACCUUCGGGCCUCUUGCCAUCAGAUGUGCCCAGAUGGGAUUAGCUAGUAGGUGGGGUAACGGCUCACCUAGGCGACGAUCCCUAGCUGGUCUGAGAGGAUGACCAGCCACUCUGGAACUGAGACACGGUCCAGACUCCUACGGGAGGCAGCAGUGGGGAAUAUUGCACAAUGGGCGCAAGCCUGAUGCAGCCAUGCCGCGUGUAUGAAGAAGGCCUUCGGGUUGUAAAGUACUUUCAGCGGGGAGGAAGGUGUUGAGGUUAAUAACCUCAGCAAUUGACGUUACCCGCAAAAGAAGCACCGGCUAACUCCGUGCCAGCAGCCGCGGUAAUACGGAGGGUGCAAGC
rnacentral:rRNA from 1 species